UAACACAACUACUACUCUUAUCUUCUUCUUCUUCUUUUUUUCUUUUUUUUUUCUUUUGCUUUUUACAAAAAUUGGUGAGUAUUCAUUUGAGUAAGUGAUAGAAAAUUCCUGAAGAAAAGGUUAGAUAAUUCAUCUUUGAAUCAGGUAGCUGGCUGGAAUCAGGUACCAGAUUCAAUGUAAAUGCAUUGUCCAUUAUAUAUAUAUAUAUAUAAAUGUCAACUUUACAAGUUCUUUCCCUCUAAUUAUUAUUGACUGUAUUUGCAGUACUAGAUUCAAUGGGGGAUAAUUAAACAGAAAACAAAGGGGUAACGUGCAGCUGCAAUUUCAUAAACAUUAUAUAUAUAUAUAGGUAUUGAGUUGAUUGAUAUGAGAUGGGCCAUUGAUGAUGGAAGCAAGAAAGCAGCAAAUGGAAUUAGUGGAAUGAGAUGAAGUGGGAACAUGUGUGGCUUUCCACAUUAACCACUAAAGCUCUCAUCUUUGGAAUGGUAAAUUUUUGUUUCUCUUUUUAAAUGAAAAAGGGGGAAUGACCAUUAAGAUUCAAUGUGCGGACAAUAGGGUUGAAAUGGAACAGCUUUUUAAAUGGGCAAAAAGGUGUUGAAAGUGGAAGAAGGUGAACACAGAGACAGGGAUAUACUGUUUGUGUCUAUAUGGUGUUCGUCAAAAUGCUGCAAUCAACCCCACAUUUCCAUUUCUACUAUAAAACAAGUAGGGAAGCCCACAUUUUCUACAUUGGAAAAAAAAUCAAUAUCUCCAAGGAAAAAAACAACAAAGAAGUUACAUUUAAAGUUUCUUUUCUUUUUCAUUGUUUGGAUUCUACAUAAAAACUUGUAUAAAUCCAACAACAAAAAAGAGCAUGUAACAUCACUGAAAUGAAAAUUGCAAAAGAAAAAUGGCGAUGGACCUCGAAA
rnacentral:lncRNA from 1 species